GACGAACGCUGGCGGCGUGCUUAACACAUGCAAGUCGAACGAUCAGACGCCGACCUUGUUGGUCGGACGUUAGCGGCGGAGGGGUGAGUAACACGUGGAUAAUCUCCUUCUCAGACUGGGAUAACUUCGGCAAACCGGAGCUAAUACCGGAUGAUAUAUUGAAUCGGUUGGGUCAAUAGUGAAAGACGGUUUUGGUUUCACUUGUAGAUGGUCCCGCGCCGCAUUAGCUAGUUGGUUAGGUAACGGCGUACCAAGGCAACGAUGGGUAGCCGGCCUGAGAGGGGGGUCGACGGCCUUAGAGGGGAGACGCGGUCGAGACGCCUGCGACAGGGAGCAGUAGGGAAUCGUAGGCAACAGGGGGAAACAUGACGGAGCAGCGCCGCGUGAGUGGUGAAGGUGUUCGGAGCGUAAUGAUCGGUUAUUGGGGGAGAACAAAUGUGUCAGUAACUGUGGGGGUGUUGACGGUAGCUGGACAGGAAGCCACGGCUAACUACGUG
rnacentral:rRNA from 1 species